GAAAACAAUCCAAAUGUUGAUCAGUGGUAGACCGGAGAGAGAAAUUGUGGUUUAUUUAUACAGUGCAAUAACGCACAAGAAUGAAAAAAACGAGCCAUGACUGUACACAACAGUAUAGAGAAAUCUCACAAACAGAACAUCGAGUAAGGAAAGCCAGACACCAAAGAGUAAUACUGUAUGAUUCCAUUUGCAUGAAGUUCAAAAACAGACAGAUUUUUUAUUACUGGAGACAACUCUUCUAUGUGAAAAAUAUAUUAAUGGCUGGAGCAGAAGAAAAAUACCAACUACAGAUGGGUUGUACUCUGAUGAGAUGCUCUUGGAGGUUAACUACUUCUGGAGGAUGAAGUGACAUCGCUGAUGAGUUGGAAAUAACGACUGACUCUGAUAUAGGAUUAAAAUAUAUUAUACUUUGUUAAACAUUUAAAAUUGCAUUGUUAUGACAGCUUUAAACAAAGCCUCCUCCUCUCCCCGUUCCCCGCCCCCCUGCGCUGAUAUCCUUAGUUUUCCUUAUGCUGGAUACUUUCGCAUGCACGCAUACAACUUUUUAUUCUGCUUUUUAAACUUUGGUUAUUUGUAAACUCUUCCCCAUUAUAUGAUCUUCAAAAUUGCCAUUUAAACGGCUGCAUAAAAAUCCAAGGGGUUGAUGUAAUUCACCAGGCUGUUUGCUCAAUCCCUCUUUUGUUAUUAACCAAACUUUGCAAAUAACAUCUUCUGUAUUAUUAUAUGUCAAGAAUAAAUUCCUAAGAGUGCAAUUACAGAGUCAAAGCGUAAGGUACACUUAUUUUUAUUUCACUUAAAAAAUUUUUUCCUUCUGAGAUAACGACAGACAGUACUGUAUGAAAAGCUUUUCACACAUUGCUCUCCAAGGUUUAUCUUGUUAAUAAUCCUUUAAGGCAAUAGUAUUAUCCUCCUAUCCUUGCUCUACAGCUGUAAAAAGAGCCGAACAGGCAGGUAACCUGAUCUCGUUCACCGGUGAGUCCUUUAUGGAGUGGCAACUAUGAUACCAGGAGCAAAACACCCCUUGGGGAGUUGCUGGAAUCCUCGGUAUGAAAAUAGCGCCUCUUCCCUUGGCGACGCUACAUUCCCAAAGGGCAGCGGAUGGGGUCCUAACCUUGUUCGCCCCAGCCUCUCCGAGAGCCCUGCACGCAGUGGACUGCAGUCUGCGUCGCAUGGACAAAAGCUCUCCCUUAAGUGGGCGGGACACGAAACCCCUCCCGGGGCCAGAGAGCUCCGCGCCGCCCCUCGGUUCCUUCGCGGGUUCCCUCCUCAAGUUCUGCGUGGGGCGCUCCGCUGCCGCGAACACUCAACCGUGCACAUGGGCGCCC